rnacentral:rRNA from 1 species
UUCUCUAAGAACUAAUUUAGAGUAAGACCUGCUCAAUGAUAAUAUAAAUAGCCGCAGUUUUACUGUGCUAAGGUAGCAUAAUAAUUUGCUCUUUAAUUAAGAGAUAGAAUGAAAGGUCACACAUUAAAAACCUGUUUCUAUAAAAUCAAAUUAAAUUUAGAAAAAAGUUAAAACUCUUUUAAUUAAAAGUAAGACGACAAGACCCUGAUAAACUUAAUAUUUAGUUGGGGAAACAAAAGAAAAACUUUUUAUCCAAAAUAAAAAACAAAACUUUAAUAUAAAAUAAAGACUAGUUACUACAGGGAUAACAGCGUUAUUUCUUUUAAGAGCCCUAAUCUAAAAAGAAGAUUACGACCUCGAUGUUGAAUUAAUUGUCCUAUAUAAGUGCAAUAACUAUAUAAGGUAGUCUGUUCGACUAUUAAAAAAUU